AAGGAUUUAAGUUAAAUAAACCAAUAGUCUUCAAAACUAUGAAUAAAGAUCCAUCUUUAAGCCUUA
rnacentral:tRNA from 1 species